rnacentral:rRNA from 1 species
AUUGAACGCUGGCGGCAUGCCUUACACAUGCAAGUCGAACGGCAGCGCGUCCUUCGGGAUGGCGGCGAGUGGCGAACGGGUGAGUAAUACAUCGGAACGUGCCCGAGAGUGGGGGAUAACGCAGCGAAAGCUGUGCUAAUACCGCAUACGAUCUCAGGAUGAAAGCAGGGGACCGCAAGGCCUUGCGCUCACGGAGCGGCCGAUGGCAGAUUAGGUAGUUGGUGGGAUAAAAGCUUACCAAGCCGACGAUCUGUAGCUGGUCUGAGAGGACGACCAGCCACACUGGAACUGAGACACGGUCCAGACUCCUACGGGAGGCAGCAGUGGGGAAUUUUGGACAAUGGGCGCAAGCCUGAUCCAGCCAUUCCGCGUGAGUGAAGAAGGUUUUCGGACUGUAAAGCUCUGUCGAGCGGGAAGAAGUGUACCAUGGCUAAUAUCCAUGAUAUUUGACGUACCGCUAGAGGAGCACGGCUAACG